rnacentral:lncRNA from 1 species
UCUUCACCAUCUUAUCAAAAGAAGUACAAGUACAUAUAUCAAAUAUCUAGCUCAUAUUUCAAGAUUACAUAAAGUAAUAGAAUGUCUAGAAUUUUCAAAAUUAUUGGGUUUGAGAAGGGAAGGUUGUGUUCAAAUGGAGAUGAUGAUGAUGGAGAUUAUGAUUAUGCUCUUGUUGCAUGAAUUUAUCGAACGUUCUUGCCAAUUUAAUGAUGGAUUUAAAGUAGAUGCAAAGUGUUUGAUCGAACUCACAACGUUUAAUUCAAAUAAAUGAAGGAGGAGGAGGAG